AAAUAUGCUUUCUAUUAGAAAUUUAGUGAUCACACAGGUGGUUUUCCCAGGCCAGGGCUCAUCCACUGCACUCAGAAUGUGCUGUCCCCUGUGAUUUCCCCAAAUAUGGGGAACUUGACUGCAUAAUUUGUGGUAGUGGGGGACUGCAUUCAUGCUCUCCCCUG